rnacentral:rRNA from 1 species
UACGUAGGUGGCAAGCGUUGUCCGGAUUUACUGGGCGUAAAGGGCGUGCAGGCGGUCUGUUAAGUUCAGGGUGAAAGCUCCCGGCUCAACUGGGAGAGGUCCUUGGAUACUGGCAGACUUGAGGGAGGUAGAGGAGAGUGGAAUUCCCGGUGUAGUGGUGAUAUGCGUAGAUAUCAGGAGGAACACCGGUGGCGAAGGCGGGUCUCUGGGCCGAUACUGACGCUGAGGAGCGAAAGCGUGGGGAGCGAACAGG